rnacentral:rRNA from 1 species
UACGUAGGGGGCAAGCGUUGUCCGGAUUUAUUGGGCGUAAAGAGCGUGUAGGCGGCCAGACAGGUCCGUUGUGAAAACUAGAGGCUUAACCUCUAGACGUCGAUGGAAACCGUCUGGCUAGAGUCCGGAAGAGGAGAAUGGAAUUCCUGGCGUAGCGGUGAAAUGCGCAGAUAUCAGGAAGAACACCCGUGGCUAAGGCGGUUCUCUAGUACGGUACUGACGCUGAGACGCGAAAGCGUGGGGAGCGAACAGG